rnacentral:rRNA from 1 species
GAUGAACGCUGGCGGCGUGCCUAAUACAUGCAAGUCGAGCGAACGGACGAGAAGCUUGCUUCUCUGAUGUUAGCGGCGGACGGGUGAGUAACACGUGGAUAACCUACCUAUAAGACUGGGAUAACUUCGGGAAACCGGAGCUAAUACCGGAUAAUAUUUUGAACCGCAUGGUUCAAAAGUAAAAGACGGUCUUGCUGUCACUUAUAGAUGGAUCCGCGCUGCAUUAGCUAGUUGGUAAGGUAACGGCUUACCAAGGCAACGAUGCAUAGCCGACCUGAGAGGGUGAUCGGCCACACUGGAACUGAGACACGGUCCAGACUCCUACGGGAGGCAGCAGUAGGGAAUCUUCCGCAAUGGGCGAAAGCCUGACGGAGCAACGCCGCGUGAGUGAUGAAGGUCUUCGGAUCGUAAAACUCUGUUAUUAGGGAAGAACAUAUGUGUAAGUAACUGUGCACAUCUUGACGGUACCUAAUCAGAAAGCCACGGCUAACUACGU